UUGUCGCCAUUUUUCUUGUUGUGGUCUACUAGGAGGUCUUCCCUCGCAGUUCUGGAAAGAUCUGUAUUUUAUUUUAGAAUAAAAUUUCUCUUUCUGCCGUCUGUUAUCUGUGUCCUAUAAGCAAGCGUCGAAAGCAAAGACAGCAACAUGGCGCAGUACAAAGGAGCUGCCAGUGAGGCUGGGAGAGCGAUGCAGCUGAUGAAAAAACGAGAAAAAGAAAGAGAGCAGCUUGAACAGCUGAAGCAGAAGAUUGCAGAGGACAACAUGGUCAAGUCCAACAUUGAUAAGAAAUUCUCAGCUCACUAUGAUGCUGUAGAAGCAGAGCUGAAGUCCAGCACAGUUGGUCUGGUAACAUUGAAUGAUAUGAAGGCCAAACAAGAGGCACUGGUGAAGGAGAGAGAGAAACAGCUGGCCAAGAAGGAGCAGUCCAAGGAACUCCAGCUCAAGCUUGAGAAGCAGAAAGAGAAGAAGAGAAAGGAGGAACAGAAGAGGAAAAUAGCCAGUUUAUCAUUUAAUCCUGAAGACGAAGGAGAAGAUGAAGAGGAAAAUGAAGAGGAAGAUCAGGAUUAUGCUCCAGUUAAGAAGAAAAAACUUGGAAAAAAUCCUGACGUGGACACAAGUUUCCUUCCUGAUCGAGACAGAGAGGAGGAGGAGAAUCGUCUCAGAGAGGAACUCAGGCAGGAAUGGGAGCUCAAACAGGAGAAGAUUAAGAGUGAGGAGAUUGAGAUUACAUUCAGUUACUGGGAUGGCUCUGGACAUCGUAAGACUGUCAAGAUGAAGAAGGGCAAUACCAUUCAGAACUUUCUGCAGAGGGCCCUGGAGGUCCUCAGAAAGGACUUCAGUGAGCUCAGGUCUGCUGGAGUAGAGCAGCUGAUGUACAUCAAAGAGGACCUGAUAAUCCCACAUCACCACAGUUUUUACGACUUCAUUGUGACCAAAGCCAGAGGCAAAUCUGGUCCUCUUUUCAGCUUUGAUGUCCACGAUGAUAUUCGACUGGUGAACGACGCCACAGUAGAGAAAGAUGAGGGCCAUGUUUUUGAUCCCCUGCAUGGUAGGAGUGAGAGUGGAAAACCCUACUUCUACCAGUGCCGUCAAGUUCUCAAGAUCUGUGGCCAGGUGGUCUAUCUUGUGUGCAUUAUUCACAGUCCCCCACCAGGGGAGGAUGCCACUGAUUCCUUUCUCCCCUGGUGACACUCUCGUAGUGGAUCGCCGUGCUCUGUGUGUCUCAUGCAGGUAAAGUGGUGCUGAGGAGCUGGUAUGAGAAGAACAAGCACAUCUUCCCUGCCAGUCGCUGGGAGCCAUACGAUCCUGAAAAGAAAUGGGACAAAUAUACGAUCCGGUGAAAAAGCUGUCUUUUCCAGUCUCUGGAUUCCUUAAUACAAACUUUUUUAUGUAUCUUAAUUUACUCUAUUAUAACAUAUUUCAUCAAUUCUUUAUCAAGAUUUGAUAAACUAUUGAUUCAUGCUUUUACUUGUUUUUUGAAUAUAGAUUUCCCAAAUGUAUUUGAAUUGCCAAUGCACUGUUUCCUUCUAAAACAACCCCACAUUCAUAUGUAUAUAGCUCACAAACAUGUAGCAUCUGUGCUUACAAAAUAAACCUGGCUAUGACUCACUGGA